ACAGUCUCCCAAACAUCAAUGCUGUCGUUACAACCCCAUCACCUACCCUUACCCUUACCACACCAAAGAGUUACUCUUUUUUGAAAUCUGAAUCUCAGAUUUUCACUUUCCAGGCAAUUCACCAGGACAGAGGCCUUUCAACUUUCCUCCCUGAGAUCUUCCUCCGUGAACCAACAACAAAAGGACCAGCCACCUCACUGGUCCCCUGUUGCCAGUAGAAAAAGCCCUACAAGGAUUAAUGCAAGAAGAAGUUCUGCUUUAGGGUUCUAUGAGGCUGAAAAUAUUGGAUCAGUAUUCCUGAGGAAUCUGCGUUUCAGAAUCCCAGGUCCUGAAGGACAAGAAGUACUUUGCAAACAAAUCAAAUGUACGUUUAUGAAGAUGAAAUCAUGCAACAGAAAGAUUUUUCAGAAUUUUUCAGCAACAGAUUUUACACACAAUUCAGAAGGAAGAAAGAACAGAUGAGUUUGGGAAUCAGGAGACCAGAUGUCAAGACUGGACUACAUCUUUAUAUUCAUUUCCAGAUUUAAAGUUCUAUGUUGUAUUUUAUUUGAUGCAAAGCAAUAAAAUAUUCCUCCCUCCUGUGA